rnacentral:lncRNA from 1 species
UACAUCUAUUUAAGGUUACAUGAUAUUUUGAUAUCCAUUAUGUGUUGUGAAGUGAUUACCACAACCAAGCUAACAACACAUCCAACACCUCACCUAGACACCUUUCUGGUGUGUGUGGUGAGAACACUUGAGUCUAAUUCCUCAGCAAGUUUCAAGAAAACAGUAUGCUAUAAUAAUUAUUAUUAUUUUGAGACGGAGUCUCGCUCUGUCACCCAUGCUGGAGUGCAGUGGCGCAAUCUUGGCUCACUGCAACUUCUCCCUCCCAGUUCAAGCAAUUCUCGUGCCUCAGCCUCCUAAGUGGCCGGGGCUACGGGUGGGCACCACCGUGCCUGGUUAAUUUUUGUAUUUUUAGUAGAGAUGGAGUCUCAUGUUGCCCAGGCUGGUCUCAAACUCUUGAGCUCAAGCAAUCUGCCUGCCUCGGCCUCCCAAAGUGCUGCGAUUAUAGGUAUGAGCCGCCACACCUGGCCUGCUAUUAUUAAUUAUAGUCACCAUGCUGUACCUUAGGUCUCUGGAACUUUUUUCUUUUAGAGAUGAGGUCUUGCUCUGUUGCCCAGGCUGGAGUGCAGUGGCACCAUCAAAGCUCACUGUAGCCUCGAACUCCUGGGCUCAAGAGAUCCUCCCACCUCAGCCUUCCGUGUAGCUGGAAUUACAGGUGUGUGCCACCAUGCUUGGCUGAUUUUAAAUUUUUUUGUGGAGACAGGGUCUUGCUAUGUUGUUCAGGCUGGCCUUGCACUCCUGGCGUCAAGCGAUGCUCCCGCCUUGGCCUCCCAAAGUGCUGGGAUUACAGGCACAAGCCAUUCUGCCUGGUUAAAACGUGUUUAUCUGAAAGCUGAAAGCUUGUACCCUUUGACCUACAUCCCCCGCCUUCCCCUGUGCCCUCACCACCAUAACCACUGCUCUACUCUGCUUCUACGAGUUCAAUUCUUUUUUAGAUUCCACAGAUAAGUGAGGUCAUGCACUAUUUGUCUUUCUGUGUCUGGCUUAUUUCACUUAGCAUAAUGUCCUCCAGGUUCAUCCAUUCCAGAGGGGUGUUUUAAAAGACAAUCUUGGCCGGGCGCAGUGGCUCACGCCUGUAAUCCCAGCACUUUGGGAGGCCGAGGAGGGCAGAUCACCUGAGGUCAGGAGUUCAAGACCAGCCUGGCCAACAUGGUGAAACCCCAUCUCUAUUAAAAAUACAAAAAUUAGCCAGGUGUGAUGGCGGGGACCUGUAAUCUCAGCUACUCGGGAGGCUGAGGUAGGAGAAUUGCUUGAACCUGGGAGGCAGAGGUUGCGGUGAGCCAAGAUCACGCCACCGACUCUAGCCUGGCCGACAGAGCAAGACUCCGUCUCAAAACAAAAACAAAAACAAAAGACAAUGUUGAGUGGUGGGUCUUCUGCUUUAACCCCUCCAACACCUCUGACUCCCGCCUUGUCUCCCUCCAGCCAUGCGGGUUCCCACCCUCCAGCCUCAGCCUGUCCCCAUCUGUGUCCCUCAGACUCAGAGGUGUCCUCCCCAGAGACGCAGACAUGGGCCUCUGCCACCCUGUAUUACAGUGCCCUGCAGUCACCGCCUGCCUGUGCAUCCCUUGCCAUGCUGUGACCUCUUGUGUCUCUGUUUUCUUCUUGGUAAAACGGGGAUACCUCAGAGGGCAGCUGUGCAACAGGACAAAUUCACACACGAGACACUCGGGAUGCUCCUGGCACACAGACAGGGUGAAGCAUCCCUUGUCCCCAUUGUCACCUUCUCUAUUAGCUCGGGCUGCCAUAACAAAGUGCCAUAGACUGCGCGGCUUACACAGCAGAAAUUUACUUCCUCCUAGUUCUGGAGGCCAGAAGGCCAAGAUCAAGGUGCCAGCGAAUUCAGUUUCUGUGGAAAUUCUCUUCCGCCUUCUCACUAUAUCCUCACAGGGCCUCUUCUCUAGACAUGCAUAAAGGGAGACAGAUCCCUGCUGUCUCUCUCUUUUUUUUUUUUUUUCUGAGACAAGGUCUGGCUCUCUUGCUCAGGCUGGAGUGCAGUGGCACAAUCCCGUCUCCACAAAAAUUAGCCGAGCACGGUGGCACGUGCCUAUAGUCCCAGCUACUGGGAAGGCUGAAGGGGGAGGGUUGCUUGAGCCCAGGAGGUUGAGGCUGCAGUGAGCUCUGAUUGCACCAUUGCAUUCUAGCCUGGGCAAGAGAGUGGGACCCCAUGUCAAAAAUACAAAAGAUAUGUUGAAGUCCCAACUCCUGAUAACUCAAAUGUGACUGUGUUGGGAACAUCUGGAGUCCUUACAGAGAUAAUCAAGUUAAAAUGAGGUCAUUAGUGUGGGUCCUAAUCCAACAACUGACGCCCUUAUACAAAGGAGAAACCUGGACACAGACAUGCACAGAAGACCAUGUGACCAUGAAGGCAGAGAUCAGAGUGAUGCUUCUAGAAGCCAGGGAAGAUUGCCAGUUAAUGACCAAAAGAAGCCAGGAGACAGGCCUGCAACGGAUUCUGCCUGAAGGCUCCCAGAAGGAACCAACCCUGACAACACCUUGAUCUUGGACUUCCAACCUCCAGAGCUGGGAGGCGACACAAUUCUGUUGUUGGCUGCAGUGGCUCACGCCUGUAAUCCCAGCACUUUGGGAGGCCAAGGCGGGAGAAUUGCUUGAGCCCAGGAGUUUGAGACCAGCCUGGGCAACACAGUGAGACCCCAGCUCUACAAACAAAUAUAAAAAAGUAGCUGGGCAUGAUGGGAUGCACCUGUAGUCCCAGCUGCUCGGGAGGCUGAGGCUGCAGUGACCUGUGAUCGCACCAGUACACUUCAGCCUGGGCAAUAGAGCAAGACCUCAUCUCUGAAACAUAAACAAAAAAACCAAUAAAGUCUCUGUUGCU